rnacentral:lncRNA from 1 species
GGUGUUGAAACAACAUGUUGACAAUUUUCUAUCUUGAUAGUCUGACAAUCACAGAGAUGCAUCGGUUUGUAAGUAGGAGGAGGAGGGCUCUGACGACGACGAAUGCCUUUUGUUCCUUCUAAUUCUAAGCCAGAGAUGAAAUGUUACUUUUUUAUGAUGCUAUUAUAAUUGAUAAGUUCACAAAUACAUUGACGACCAUCCAAUUUGGGAGGAGGAACCUAAUUUUAAUUUGGAGAAAUGGUCCAGAAAAUCCAACUUUAACCUUAAAGCUGCUGAAGUUAGUAAAGCUAGUUUUCGAAAGUAAGUUUGGUGAAGUUGGCUACUUUUACCACCAGUCAAAAUUUUCACCUCCAUCGUGCACUAAUCUUGAAUUUUGCAAUAAUAUUAAUUAUUUUACACAAAUAGUUUAUAGUUUUUUUAAUUAAUUUUAUAUUUAAGAUUACAAAUUUGGAUAUUUGGUGAUCUUCACAUGUCGAGGACAUGUUAAAUUUAUCUAUUUAUUAUUUAUUUAAUUUUUUUGUAAAUAAAUAACUAGCGAAGCAUUAAUAUAAAUCUUUUCGUUAACCAAAUGUUUGAUACUCAACUUCAAUAAUAGUUACACCAUCAAAUCACGUCAAAGUCAAACCUGCAACUGGUUCGUUACUUCAAAUGAUCAAAUCUGGAAAGAAAAAAAAUGAUAAAAUUGAUUAGAUAGAUGAUAAAAAUAUAUUAGUUACAAAAAAGUUAGUAUAGUAUAUAAUGAUCUUCAUACGGAAUUACAGCAGGUACCUUCAUUUUGAAUAGGGGAAUACUUUCCAGAACACUUGGCCCUCAGAAUUGGAUUGUAUAAAUCUCAAUGAAAUGGAACCAUACACUUCUCCAAUGAGGAUUUAUGUACAGAACUGUAGCAAUGCAAAGCACAACACAUAUGUAAGAUACGAUGAAGCUUACAUAGAAGACCUCCAUGUCCAUGAAACCGCGCUCCUCACUUUCAUCAUUAGCAGAUGGCAGGACAGGUGAUGAUCUAGUGCUAGUACAGUUGAUUGGUAAUGGACGACCACAAAGAUAAGGAUUUCCCUGGUAGCUAUCUUCACCAAAGGUUCCAAACUGACCUUUCUCUGGUAUAGUACCUGUUAAAUUGUUAUGUGACACGUUGAAGACUUCUAAAGUGUUUAACUUAAUCAGACCAUUGGGGAUCUUCCCACCCAAGUUGUUAUAGGAGAGAUCUAAGCUCUCGAUCUGAUGUAGGCUUGAGAAUGUUGCUGGAAUUGUUCCAUUAAGAUUGUUGUGGGACAAGUUGAUUGCAUGGAUCUCACUUAACUUUCCAAGGCUGUCCGGAAUUUCACCAUGUAAUUUAUUGGAAGAGAGAUUAAUUCCAGACAUGUUAUUGAGGAUGUAACCUUUGUAAGGAUAAGAAUUUCCCUUUGUCUUAAAUGUCACUAUAAUUGGCACUCUGUCGAGUACAAUUAUUGUUAACUCAGAGUUCUCCUUGGUUUUCCCCAUUGAUAUGUUACCAAAGCACUGCGGGAUUUGACCCGAAAGGAAAUUAAAAGAAAGGUCUAUCAAACUUAGUUUGUUCAUCUCACAAAACUGGUGAGGGAUCAUGCCUUCAAAAUGGUUACCGCUGAGUAGAAAAAAUCUCAUGCUUGAUAGAGUGCCAAUCCAUUGAGGGAUACUUCCAGUGAACUUAUUCUCUCUGAGAUCCAAUAACUCCAACGAAGAGCUAUUAUAAAAUGCUUCUAUCAGCUCACCUUCUAAUUGGUUAUUGUUCAGAUAGACAUGACUUAUUGUUGAUGUAUUGAAGCAGGAUGGGACCGAACCACAUAACUUGUUAUGAGAUAAAUCUAAGAGGUGAAGAUACUCGAGAUUGCAAAUUUCCAUUGGGAUAAGACCCUCAAGCUGGUUAUUAGACAUAGAAACUAUUAUCAAAUAUGUCAUAUUACCCACUGAAGUGGGAAUUCUGCCAGACAAAUGGUUGUUACUAAUGUCUAACACCAUUAAAUUUCUGGUAGACAAGCUACUUGAAAUGGUGCUUGACAAGUUAUUGUUGGACAAGUCCAGUUGAUCUAUAUAUUUUAAGUCACCAAAACUAGAAGGUAUACACCCAUCAAACAUAUUUGUUGACAUGUUUAAUAAAUACAAAUUUGGAAAAAUAGAAGUUAUGUUAAUUGGAAUACGUCCAUUGAACUUAUUAUUAGUUACAUCGAAAUUCUGCAUGUCAUGAUUGGUGCUUGUUGGCAACAUGAGAGUUCCUAUAAAAAGCAUUAGCUCUCAGGAGAAGUGUCGAAAGUCCUGUAUUGUUCUCUAACAACCAAGUUGGAAAAUUCCCUCCUAUGUUGUUCUUUGAGAGACUAAUAUAUCUCAAGUUUGAUUGAUAGUACAAAAAGUUGGGUAGUGUUGGAUGGCCACUACAAUUUGACAUAUCAAAACCUUCUAGUUGAAAAUUGGGAACCCAUUUUUCCAACUCGUUUUCAUUUAUUAUUUCAUUGAUUCCCACUUUUAAAGACUUUAAGUUCGAAUGAUUAAAGAAUGCCUUGAAAGAAAUUGGAACUUGAAAAUGGUUACUUGAAAGAGAAAGAACUUCGAGCGAUGUGAGUUUGGAAAGUGGAGAUGAGGCAAUAUUUCCGGUGAGCUUAUUGGAAGAGAGGUCAAUCCAUCUAAGAGAGGUCAUGUUUGCAACACAUGAAGGAAGCAUUCCUUCAUACUCAUUCCAAUUCAGAUAUAACUCUUGGAGGUUUUUAAGUUCACACCACCCUACAAAAAAAUCACUGCUUCAAUAGCCAUCAAAAAAAUAGAGAAUUUAAAGACUUCGCCCAUAAAAGGUAAGAUAAAUUUUUGUGUCCGAACUUACGUUUUAAGUCAGAAAAUUACAUUUUUAUUGGUGAAAUAUGGAAAUAAGUAGCUUAUUUUGAAUGUAACUCUUAUGAGGGACAAAGCCAGAACUCUAUAAAAAAUUCUUUUAUGCUGGACAUAAUUUUUACAAAUAUAAAAAUUCAUACGGAAAAGCAUUGUUUACCAAACAAGUCGUUGAAGUUUACCUCGAACGGGAAGGGUGCCAUUGAGUCCACAACUAGACAAAGAUAAAAUCUUGAGGGAACUCAAUGCUCCAAUACUUUGUAGAAAGUUCCCAUCCACAUCAGAAUAGUCCAAGAACAAUUGCUCCAACUGUCUUAAAUGUCUCAACGCUUAUGCACGAAAACAAUGGGAUGGGCAUUAGAAUUGGAGUUCAUAUUAUAAUUAGUAAUAUAAUUUUUGUGACUAGAAAUUACAACUCUUUCGGGAUACCAAAAGUUUCUAUAUUUCCGUUUAUAUAAUUGAAAAUAGAAAUAAUUGAAGAAACAAUUUAUUAAUGAGCAUGCUAAGUCAUGGAAAACAUUGUUUACCAAACAAGUCUUUGAAGUUUACCUUGAAUGGGUAGGUUGCCAUUGAGUUUGCAACUAGACAAAGAUAAAAUCUUGAGAGAACUCAAUGCUCCAAUACUUUGUAGAAAGUUCCCAUCGACUGUAGAAUUGUCCAAGAAUAGUCCCUCCAGCAAUCUUAAAUGUCUCAACUCUUAUACACAAAAGCAAUGGAAUGUGCAUUAGAAUUGGAGUUCAUAUUAUAAUUAGUAAUAUAAUUUUUGUGACUAGGAAUUACAACUCUUUAUGCUUACCAAAAGUUCCAAUACUUUCAUUUAUAUAAUUGUCCCGAAAAUAGAAGUGCUCGAGGUAUGAGAAUGCCUUCAAAGAUUGCACCAUGUUGCUAAUGUUGGAGACACUUAUGCCAUCUAAUUUUAGCACUCGAAGACGAUGCAUACUUUUGAUGCCUGGAAUGGAGAACUAUCUAGGGUAAUACUCAUCAACGUUAAUUAUUGAGAAAUGGGAAAUUAAAAUGUUUAAGUGUCGACGAUGAAAUGUAAUAAACAACAAACUACUAAUUUAGUGAUAUGGAAGGGCUGUGAGCAAAAUAACAGGGACGCUUCGGCUCAUGCAUAAGAAGGCACAAGAAAAGGAAAUUAAUAAUGAAUAAGGAUAAAGAAUGAAUUGAGGUGAUAUACCAUAAAUGAUAUACCAUAAAAUCAUUCAGAUCUAUCAAAAAGGAAAAGUAAAUUUAUUAAAAGGUCCUAACAAUAUAGUCUUCUUUUGACCUAAAAACAAUUUAUCACACUUGUAAAAGGAGACUCACUUAGUAUCGACAGAAUGUCGUCGUUGCUAAUAUCAUCGUUACCAUUGAAAUCAAGAACUUCCAGCUUGGUUAAUCCAAAGAGCCUUUCACUGCCUAGACAAUUAUUUCUCUUAAAAAAUAAUAUUAUGUUUCGUCAAGCUAAUAAAAAUUGAAAUAAUACCCAGAGGAAAUCAAUGUUGAUUAAGAGUACGCACACAAGCAUAAUGGUUGGGAAUCAAAAAAAUAAUAUUAUACUUCUGUAAUAAGGUGUGUUACAAUAUUAGAUGAAAAGAAAUUAUUAAAAAAAAAAAAAGGUCUUAUUUGUUGUAUAUGUCUUGUACCAGAAGUUCCCUUAAUCUUUCACAUUUGAAUUAGUACUUGGGUUGAUUAGAACUAUUAAUAUAUCAAUGACAUUAACAUAUGCGUUUCGUAAUGCUAACCGUAUUAGGAAGGGCAAAUGACAAAUGUUUUGAUCUAAUAGGAAAGCAACUAGCAUAAUUUUCGAAGUGGCUAUUCUUAGAUAAUCAAAUGAUCUAUCAAAGAACGAGCAGAAUACAAAGUAUAUUGAACUUACUGUUGCUGAAUUUUUUUCUCAUUAAAUAGUUGUUUCCAAAACGCAAAUACUUUAGAGAAGAAAGCCGACUAAGAAAUGACAAAAUUUUGUUAUCAAAUGAAUUCCAACUCAAAUCAAGGGCCUCCAAAUUUCUCAACUUCGACAGUCUAUCAAUACCUGCAACAAAGUUCAAUAUAUCUAUAAUAUCACUCGAAGGAAAAACUUAGACAACCAAAAAACAGAGGAGUAAUAAAAUUUAAUCAACUGGCUGGUUACUCGAGUAGAGAUUUCAUCUUGCCUUCAUUCUCAACCCAUCCUACUAACUGAUUCUGCUCCAAGAAGAGAUUUCUGAGCUCUCGAAAUGGAAGAAACAGAGAGGCAUUAAAAUACCAAUCUCCUAAUUUCCUCUCCCUAACGUAAUCAAGAUCAAGUUGGAUUACUCGUUUAGUUGUGUUGCUGGAUUCAACCGAUUCCCAUUGACAACAAUCAGUUGCAGUCUCAUUAACCACCCAUGAAGACAGUGAUUCUCCAUCUGGGAAGUUUAUAUUUGCUCUAAGGUGCAAAAGAGCAACCUUCUCUUCCUCCCAACACCCUAACAAUACCAUUCAUUUAGUAAUGAAAGCACAAUCAUCACUAGAAUUACCAGUAACUUAAUUCCCAUCUUUCUUAACUGCUAAGCCACAAAUUCUUACUUUUUCUGGAUAAAUGAGGUUGCAAACUCUCCAAUUUAUAGCACUAAGUGGAUUUGACGUGUUAGGCGGUUUGUUUUUAUUAUAGACUUUUCCUUGAAGUUGUAAAAUUCGUAGCACUUUCUUAUUGUUUAAUUGAUUAAUAGGAAAUUGCCCAUACUUAGUUGAUUGAUUGAGGAUUAUAAAAGAACCCUAUAUGAGUUGAAAAUUACUGUCCAAAAUUGACCAUCCGACUUGCCUUCCACAAAUAAUUCAUUGACACAUCAUUAGACACCUAUUUUUAAUCACAAGUGAUGGUGAAUUAAAAGUUGAACAUGCAGAUCUCAACUUACACUAUAUAGUACUGACUUUUUUUUCUUCAUGCACAAGAAAAAAUUCUUUAAAUUUUUUCCUAAUGGAUGGAGAAGAAUUUCCAGGAAGGAUAUUGUUUUUCUUAAAUAUCUAUGUGCAAAAGUGUGUGGAAAAUCAUGAGAAUAAGAACUAAUCAGAAUUUUCUAUUUCCGUGUGCCAAGGGCAUGCCAGAUUCUCUUUUACUAGAAUUCUUAAUUAGCACCAUGUAUUGACCUAAUCCUACGUUCCGUCAUUAUUAUUGAAUGAUCAGCUCACUUUCAUUAUUAUCCUAGUUGUACAUUUUUAUUUUUAUUUUUUGCAAUCAAAUCAUUAAUUGAUUGACAGUUGGAAGAAGAAGACAAAUAUUUUGCAUUGCAAAAACAUUUUCUCAGUAAUGCAGUGCCCCGUGGACCACGUUCCGCAAAGUGGUGGAAAUUGAUGAAAUUUCUACAAUUUGCCCCACCUAUCAAGGUCUAUAAAUGUCUAUAUUACAUGAGAAGUAAAACUUACAACUUAUAUCUAUUUCGUGAAAUAUGGUUCAUUAUUUCUCUUUCAUAUUUUGUCGUUGAAGGAUAUAAACAAGAUUUUAAUUCGACUCAAAAUCUGUCAUUUAUUUAUUCAUCACUAAUGCUCCGUGAAGGAACCUUAUUGUAACGCUCGACCCGCUGGUACAAAAGCGUCGCUCAAACAAUUGUACUUUAAUUUUAGACUUAGAAAUUAUUUAAAAUAAUAGUUUAAUUUAAGAAUUUAAGCAAAAAAAUUUCUUUAAGAACUAUAUAUAUAUAUAUAUAUAUAUAUAUAUUUUUAAAUAACUACCAAUGAAUUUUCCAUUAAAAUCUACUUUUAAAUAGUAACAUGAUAGUAACAUAAUUUUAAAGGCAUUUAUUAAAGAAGAAAAGAGUUGAGCAAAUUCAUGCAUAUGCCUAUUUUAUUACGUGAAUAGUGGCAAGUACAUAUCUACGAAAUAAAUAAAAGGUAUGAUAGUUUUCCAUAUUAGAAGUAAGAAAGAAAGUAAUAUGUUUUGAUUUCUCAUUUUCACACGGUGGGUUUUAAAAUAAACUCGUUUGCAUAGUUAUCGAUGUCAAAAUUUCGUGAAAUUUUUAAGGAAAAGUAUGGAACAUCUUAUAAUAUGACAUAUCCAAAAUUAGCUUCCGUCGGCAUCAUAUGGGUAUUAAAAUAUAUUUCACUUUUACAAAGCGACCCAGUUGAAAGGCAAAUUGGUGCAGUUUAUUUAAAAUAACAUAUAAAAUUCCAUAGACAUCAACACCACAUGAUUUCCAAUUUAAUCAAUAGCUAAUCCAUGAAACUAUCAAAUCCAAUUGGUUUCAUCCAAAAAUUCGAAGUAACGGUCGAGUUAUGAAUUUCUGAAGUCAAAGCAGAAGCUGAAAAACAGCAACACUAGUCAGUGCAGUUUACCUUAAGUGACAUAUAAGAUUCCACAGACAUCGGAUUGACACGAUUCCAUGUUUAUUCAGUAGCUAUCUUAUAUGGUUAUCCAGCAUCAUUAGUUUUGUCUAAAAAUAUCAAGUAACGAGUGAACUAUGAAUUUUUUAAGUCAAGACAGAAACUAAAAUUUUUAAAAGACAGCAAUACUUUAAUUUGCUAACACUCUUUUUCAUUUCUUUUUGUAAACGGUGUUUUGUAAAUUGACUUCUAUAACACAUAUCUACUUUUAAACAUAACUAAUUCAUGAAGAAAUAUUCUUUGAAUAGUUCAACAUAUGACAUCCAUAGAAAUCCAUAUAAAAAGAAACAAACGUAAACAUUCAUGAUCGAAUUAAAAUUAUUAAAAUGCCGGCUUCCUCCAUAGUAUGUUGCAUCAUCUUCUACCAUCACCCACGCCCUAAGAAAAUUCAUUCAACUUGUAGGAAGGAAAUUAAUCCUUGAGUUUGAAAUUCAAUAGAUAUCAUCGGUGCGUUUCAUUAUCAAAUUAGAAAUUUCAAACAAUAGAUUCAUACCGUCGCACGUAGAUGGAUUUUCGGAAAACUCCAAUUAUUAUAGCAUUAUCAUAACAUGUAGAGCCGAAAAAUGAUCAUUCAAACUGUUGUAGUGCCGAAACACCGUACCCAGAGGUACCAUUUCAUUCAAACAUUUAUCGAAAAAUCAUAAUUUAAAAACAAAAUAAACACUUACACCUCUAUCUACCUUGAAUUUUUUUUUUUAGACAUAAAAGAACAAAAUGUGUAAAAAGUCUUUCUUCUUCUAACCCUUGUUAUUUCCUUAAACUUAACUUGACAUGAAAUAUAUAUUUUUUAAGAGAAAAUAAGAGUAAAUUCGGAUUUGAAAAGAGGUAUUGUGAAUAAGUGACAUUUCUCUUCUUGUAACAUUUCGUUUUAAUGAAAAACUAAAUGAGGAAGUUGUAUUAUCAUUAAAUUUUUUUAAAUUUAGUCUUUAACUAAGAAUUUGAAGAGUUUCUAAUCCAUAAAAAAAUAAUUCAUAUAAAAAGUUUUAUAAAAACAUAUAUACAUGGUGAUUUGAACUUGGGUUGCCUAUAUGAAAUACUAUGUAGAUGACCAUUAGGGCAAUGCAGUAAUUCAUUAAAUCUUUGUGAUUAAAUUUACUUAAAUUUAAUCUCUUAAAUUGUUAGGCUUUUAAUUAGCUUAUGGUUUGUGUUUUCAUAAUUUUAAAUGGGUUGAGUUUCCAUAGCUCAUUCCUUAAAUAGAUUAGGCUCGUGAUGCUAGAUCACCACAAAAUAAUAGCCUUAUUUCAUUUUAUUUCUUGAGCUUUUACACUUAUCAUUUUGCAUGAAACCAUUUGUCGUUGAUUAAUGAGACAUCAGUCUUAACAUUUAAAAUAAGAAAGAAAAACCCUUUACACGUUAUUUAUUUUGAAUAUAAUUGAAGCAGUUUGCAUAUGGAAAUUAUCAAUUAUUUUAUAGUUUUGAGAUUUUAUUACUUUACUAUGAUUUUAGAUUGUUUCAUGUUGAUUAAGAUUUUGCUCAUGGUAGUAUUUUAAUUAAUAUUAUGGUGUUUUGAAAUUUCCUAAUAGAACAAGUAUAUAUAUUUUUUGUAAAAAUAAGACCACUUGGUCUUUUGCAAAGUCGUUUUAUAAAGUGGACUUGCUGAAAUGAAAAAUUGUGUGUUCUCAAUUAUGUGUCCAAAUUCUCAAUAUACUACGAUUCAACAAGUGUUUUAUAGCUAGCUUCCUGAUAUUCAUGAGUAUUUGUCCAUAUAGAAUUGAUAUGCCUAACUCAAAAAUUAACAAUACACGAUUAAAAGUAGCAACUUAAUAUUAUCUAGUUAAGGAAAAAAAAAAUGAAACAAUAUUAUAGAGUUCAAACUUAGAAUGAGGUGCAGAUAAUUUAAGAACAGCUACUUUGAAAUUAGAAAGUGUUGGUUUGUGUAAGACUUCUAAUAGUCCAUUUUAAGAUUAGUGAGCUUUUGGUUCAGUUUUCUAACUUAAGAAUUAUAUCUAUAUCAUGAAAUAUGGUUCAUUGUUUCCAUUGACAGGGAUGGACCCAGAAUUUUCAUUAAUGUGGGCUAAAAUUUAGAAACAUCGAUGUAAUAACAUUUAUAGAUUAAAAGAGUCACUGCAAGACAAUAUUUAUUCAAGUAGUUCCGAUGAGAAUUUGAAAUAUGCAACAGAGCUGCCGACUAUGACAGUACAUACAAUGGUCACAACUUGAGUUGGGGUAAACUGCAACCUUAUCCCUUCCCUUCUUCACCCAUACUAUAUUUUCCAAUUGUGAAACCCACAUCACAAAGGCGGAAAAAAAUUCAAAUUCGACCAAAAGGGAAUGCAACUUAUCUUUGGCAUAUAAAAAGACGCAAAAAAAAAAAUGAGAAAAUACAAUUUUUUGUUUGGGAUUUCGAGAUAUACAUAGAGAGAGGGCAUGUCUGGGAUGGGUUGUGGUUGGGGAAUUGGGCUCAUUUAAGUUUACAUCCUAAAUGUACUUCUUGAAAUGAAGCAUUCAAUUACCAUUCCUCUCAAUGCAAACCAUUCAAUCGAUUUUGAAGGUCUUUGCACUGAAAUUUCUUCAAGAAAUAUAUCACUUUCUUCACUAACAAAUGCCAUUUUCUCAGCAAUGGAUUCCUGGCCCACAAAUUUAUCCCUUUUGGUUAGGGGUGGGCGCGGGUCGGUUCGGUUCGGUUCUAAAGAGAAUCGAACCGAACCGAACUUUUCGGGUAUCUAGUAAAUGGAACCGUCGGGUCCAAAUAUAAUUAUGGAACCGUUCGGGUUCGGUUCUGUUCGGUUCGGUUCGGUCCGGUUCGGGUCCGUUCGGUUCUUUACUAUAAUUAAAUUUUUUUAACAUUUAUAACAACAUUAUAUAAUUACAACUAAUGAUAUAUUCAAUGGUUUUGGAAUGUCAGAGACUGGUAAACUACCCUAUUCAAAUGAUCGCUACGAUCAAAGUUUCGGUUGGCGAAAGUCACAGUUUCGAUCGGAGGUCACAGUGUCGGCCGAUGAUUGUAUAGGUUUUGGAAUAUUAGCGAGGCUGCGAGAGUGAGUGCGAGAGUCAAGACAACGUUAUGCACUUUAGUGUUGGUGUUUAGGGUUAUUUAGUAGAUUUGAUCUUGUUUGGCUAAGAAAUGAAACAAUAAAAUGGGUAAUUGGGCCAAAAAUUAAAAAAUUAGAAAUGAAACAAAUUAUUUGACCAAAAAUUUGAAUUUAGAAAUUGUUAAUUUGUUUAGAAAAAAUUAAAAUUAAAAUAAUUUGAUUUACUCAAUAUAAAAAAAUUAGAAAUAUUCGGUUCUUAUUCGGUUCUUCGGUUCUUGGUCUAGAACCGAGAACCGAACCGUACCCGUCGGUUCUCAAUUCAGAUACCCGUUCGGGUAUUUAAUUUGACAAGAACCGUCGGGUUCGAUUCGGAUCGGUUCGGGUUCGGUUCGGUCGGUUCGGUUCGGGAGAUUUGCCCAGCCCUACUUUUGGUUAGAAAGUUUACUUAUCUCUACUUUUAUGCUCAAAUUCCUUUGAUUUUACAUAACUAAAGAAGUAAUUGAGUAAAAAUAAGUAAGAAUAGGGUAAAAAAUUAUACUAUUUAAACGAGAAAUUAAUAUCCGACAGAAAAAGGCUAAUUUGGCUAAAAAUUACAUGAGAAAAAACAUAUAAAUAACCAAUCACAUAAAUCCUACUCAUAGAUAAAGCUUAGAAACUACCUUGAAACAAUCGAAAGGCAGAUUUCCAAAUAUUGAGCCCAUCUCAGUAGAUUGAGGAUUGAUACAGCGUUGCCUAAUCUUCUAGCACCCAUGAAAGAAACGGAAAAUAGAGAAGGUGAGAGAUACAUGGAGCAAAAAAGAACAUCGGCUCUCUAAAUACAAAAUGCUCCUUAUUUUGAAGAGAUAAUACUUAAAAAUGAGCUCUAAAAUGCUCUUUAUUUUAAUUUUUUAGAAUAAAAAAUUGAUUUGACUUUCAAGCUAAUACUUAAAAAUAAGCUCUAAGAGAUUGUGUAUUUUAAUUUUUUAAAAUAAAUAGUGAGUUUGGCUCUUAAAAUUAGAGAGUCGAACUAAUUCUUUAUUCUUAAUGUACAAUGAUUUCAUUUAAGAAGUCAGGUAUUUCAAUAAUAUUUUUUUUAAACAAUUCAAACUGCGUUUAAAUUGAUCGGCUGUUGACAUAUAAAAAUAAUGUUAAUAAAGUAUGAGGAGAAAUUAAUAAUUGUUUCUUGAGAAAUGCAAAAUAAAGAGCCACAAUAGAGAAUAAUGUUGGAAUGAAACAUUUUUGACUCACAAAAUUUAAAAAUAGUCUCUAUAAUACAUGAAAUGCUAUUUAUAAAUAAAAGGUCUCUUGAAUAUGAGCAAAGGGGAUUGAUAUCUAGAUUUUGGUUUAAAUUGGACUAAUUGGUUUUAAUUUUUUGUUUUGGGCUUGGGCUAUUAUUAAUUUGAAUACAUACUUCGUUGAUUUAAAGAUGGGCUAACUGAAAUAAAUAAUAAAAAAAAUACAUAAUUACCGUAGUUACAAGAAACACUUUCAAAUUCAAGGAAAUUGUAGAAUUCUUUCAAAAAUCACAUGGUCAUAUUUAUGAUCAUCUAAUAAAAUUUUAUGACUUAUUAAUUAAUUCAACUGCUCAAGAUCAUGAUAACAUAUAAUUUAUUGUCACAAUCAUAUACAAGUCAUAUCGCAGAAUGCCACAGUUAGAAAAAAAAACAAAUUGUGGGUCACUAUUACAAAUUUAAUAGCAAACUACAAUUUUAUUAUGUAGGGCAGUGGACUUAGAUAUGUAGUGGCAGCGAUGAGCUGUUGCUGAUGUGGGUGUGGAUUGGAAAAUUGGGGUUUGGAUUCGGAAGAAAUGAAUUAAUUGAUAGGGUAGUGUAGUGUGAGGUAGUGUGGGUUAGAGUAUAAACCUUACUUAAGACAAAUUUAAUUCUCAUUUUACAAAUGAAAAGAUAGAAAAAAGGAAUGGGAGUAAUUUUUCCUAAAAAAAUUAUAAAAGUUGGAUGUGGACUAUAGCUGGCACGAGUUGAUGCCCAGUGUAAUGCCCCGAAAAUUUUGUGGAAUAAAAUUUAUUUAUUCUUUAUGCUAUAUUUAUAUAUUUUGAAAUUUGAGGGAUUAAAGUGAACUAGUAUUAAUUUUAUUAUUAUUUGGGCUAGGUAAUUAGAUUUUGAUAGAGCGAGAUUUAGUAUAUCAAUAUUGGACUCAUUUUUAUAGUUCGUAAUAAAUAACGCAUUAUGAACUUGAAAAAUGAUUUAUUUGGAUAAGUUAGGCCUAAGAUCUGAAAGUUUAAAGAAGUUAUCUUUAAUCGGUAAUUAAUUAAACAUGGUUUAAGAUUUUAAUUUUAGGUAGCCUCCUAUGAGAUGAUAAAUGUUGAUUUUGGAUAAUGAUAAACUUUUGAGAUUUGGAUAAAGUUAUAUUGUAAUCUUAAAUUGAUUUUAAUAAAGUUUAAUAGCAAUCAAAAUUCUAUUAUUUGAAAUCAAUUCUUAUUCAAAUUCCUUGUAUUACACAGUUUUUCAGUUCUAGUUGCAUACAAACUCAAUUGAGAAUUUCAACUAUAAAUACUACAAGAAUUCUCAUUAUUUCACCAUAAAAAAAUAAAGAGAGAGCCAUGGUGGAGAGAAAGUGAAGGAGAUGAAAAAGAAUAGAAAAAUAAUGGGAGAAUUUUCUUGUGCAAGAUUUUACCUUCUUUUUACAACCUUUCAACAAUUAGGUACGAUAAUUUUGUGCAAGUGGUUUGUUUUCUUAUGCUUUAGGCAUUCAAUUAAAUAUGUAUGAAUUGCAAUUGGACAUUCAAGUUCGUUAAUAAGAGAUAUGAAAUGCUUUGGGAAUUUAAGAGGACCUAUGGAUGUGUCUCUAGGUCACCGAUAUACUCCAUAAAAGAAGUGUGGUAUGGAGUGUUUAUUCAUUUGUUAUAUAUAAUUGUGUAUGAAAACUAUACACGUAUUUUACUGGAUAUUUUUAAAUAAUCACUCUUACAAUAAUUUUAUAGGUUAGCUCGAGUCGAUUGAAUCUGUGGCGAGACGGUGAUGCGGGCUGCCAAGUGGAAAAGUAAAAAAAUAAAUAUUAAUUUUUUUUUUAAUCUUUAAAUUUAUUAGUUGGUUUAAAGUUCAAAGUCAUGUUAUUUAAUUGGUUAGUUGAACAUGUUUAUUAUUAUUAUUUUUUUUAAAGAUGCAGUUUCCCAUGUUUUGUUUAAAUUUAUGGAUAUUUUAGUUAUUUUAUUUAAAAUUUUAUUUUAUCAUUCUACCUUCAAUACAAAGAAAAUAAAUUUUUUUGUAACACUUCAAGAUUUGUGAAACUUUGGGGUGUUACACCCAGGACUCAAUCUAUACCUAGGAGGAGGUGGUUUUGUGGUGAUGGUGGCGGUGGGAUGGUAAUCGGUGGGAAUUGAAGUCGUGUGGAACAUGUGGUGGGCGUGAGUAUGUUUGGUGGGCUUUGCGCAAUUUGGGAUCUUUCAUUUCUACGCUUUACUCCAAUUCUUUUGAAAAUAUAAAAUAAUAAUGGUAAAAAAAAAAAAAAAAGAAUUUGGCAGAAGAUGAAAAGAUAAUGUAGUUGUUGUAAUUUCCUCUGAAGAAAUUAGUUACUGUUUAAUCCAAACAUCAGAUGCUCCUUAGAGGUAAAAACGUUUGCAUAUUCAAUUCUUAUCUCUUAAUUAAAAGAAAAUUUACAAAGGAAGCUUCAGAGCUCUUAAAAAUGUGCUGUGCAGCGUAGUCUUAAACCUUCAAAAAUAGUAGCAAAUACUUCUCAAAUCUUUCAAAUAAAGUAAAAGAAUGGACCAAAGUUUUUAAAAAAUAUUUUUAGAAAACAUAUAAAUGAUUUAGAUAGAUAUAAAUUAUUGCACAUAAAAAAUAAUAAGUCACUUUGUGUUUCAGUAGUAAGGAACCCAUUAUUUUCCUUAGAAGUUCGGGUCCGCGGUUAACUCAAUCAGGUAUAUUUCUAUUGCUAUUCGGCCAUUCUAUGUGGCUGCACAAUCGACAUCCUAUGUGGCAAACUUUUAAAUUUUAUUUUUAAACCAAAAGUAUAAUUAACGUGUUUUUCCCAAAAAGAGCCCAACUUUUCAUCUUUCCAAUACCAUAAAGAAUGGAUCUACAGAGUACAUUUCAAUCUCUCUCUCUCACCUUAUCCACCGUCGCACUCCGACGGCGGCACCACCGAAAAUUAAAGCCUCAUCUUCUCUGAUAACUUUUGCUAACUUCUUUAAAGAAUAUUGAAUUGAAAAAUUGGUUGCGUCAACCCAAAGGCUGAAUCUCUUUCUUUUUCUUAACUCACCCGUACUCCGACUACAACCACCACCGAUUGCAACUCAUGGGCAGAAGAUUUAUAGGUGCUCGAUUGUUUGAUUUGCCAAGUUUCUCCAAAAGAAGGCGUGGAUGAAUUUGUAAGUGCUGUACAUUCUUUUCUCUACCAGUUUUUUUUUUUUUUUAAUUGAUGGAUGCAUUCUUGAAAGUGUUUUUAGCAUUCUGUUUAUUCAUACUCGGGAAAUGGGUUUAAGCCACUUCUUAGGUUUUUUCUAAAUUUUGUUUGCCCAAUUUCUUCAGUCUCUGUUUAUUUUCUGAGUGCCGUGGAAAUGUAUCGUUAAUGGAUUGCACCAAUUCAAUUUGUAUUUUAUAGAAGUACAGAGAGAACCCUUAUCUAUAGAUUUGCACCAUUGGCAUUGCUAAAAAUUUAUCUUGUCACUCUGCCAAAUUCAGGUUUUGAUAAUGUGUAUAUGGUUGCUGUAUGUGUUUAAAAUUCAAUGUCACAUGAAAGCACAUUUUCUUGAAUGCUAUGCUGCUGAAAUUUUCACAACCAUUGAUGUCAGACUUCUGUACCAUAUUAAAUUUUAAACAGAUAGACGCUGCUGCAAAUUAUGAAUGCUAUCAGUGAACGUUGCUGCAAAUUGAUCAAGAAUGCAUUACAUUUUGAACUACUUUUUUGUAGUUUCUCUUUGACCAAAUCAUUCACUUCUAAAUGCUUGUCCUCUCUUAUGUGUACGAAUUCUUGAUAUUCUGUGGAAUUAAAGAGUGUAUAAUGCCUAGCUUCUCGUGUUUAUUAAGUCGACACCAUUCUGUGAAAUUAAACAGUAACAAUAACUAGUUAAAAAGUAAAACAAAAAACCAAUAAUAGAAAAGGGAUAGUUGGUAUUGAUUAUAAAAUUCUUGUUGAUGGAAUUAGUUUUUCUUCCAAUACAAAUUGAUCCCGGGAAUCAUUUUUAUUUGUCCUUGUAUAUUAUUUUAGAUUUAUUGGUUGGGUGAGCAAUUUUUUCCUUGUGCUUUUCUUUGUAGCGAAAAUUCCUCGUUAAAUCUUAAUUCCGGGCUCAUAAAACAACCAAACGAACACCGGUUUACCUCGACUCGACCUGAGACUUUCACUUUCACUUUGGACUGCUCUCUUUCUCUCUAACCCCACAAAGGAGAAGGGUGGUGGUGUUAGCAAUCCACAAAAGUAUGGAGAGGAAGACGAAGAUAUCACAAUGGUUGAAUCUCACUCACAACUACACAUGGCUUCCCUCUCUCUCGGUUGCCUCUCUUCUCUCAACUCUCCUCUCCAUUGCUACAACACACACACACCACCAAAAACGGUUGGGAGGUAAAUACAUAUAUAUAGGUUAGUUUAGGUCACUCUAAUUGGGCCUAGGGUUCACUAAGCGGGUUACCAAUUAACCUAAACUAACGGGCCAAUAUUCAAUUCCAUAUUAAUCACUAAAUGGUCCAACUAACCAAAUAAUCAUCCAACCCAAACCCGAACUAUCCAAAAGUGUAGUUCAUCUUCGAGUUGAGCCAAGUCCAUGGUGUCGAUAAAUAAUCCGAUAACUGUUUUAAAUCAUCACCCGGAUUAUUGGGUAUCAAAAAAUCCAACAAUCUCCACCUUGAUGCCCAAUAAUCUGCAAGCAAUCAAAACACACAGUUUAUACUUGCACAAUCAAGAUAAUCCAAUAAAAUUGGAAUAACAGACCUUACCUCGUGUUUCCAACUUGAAACACAUACGAUACUUGCUCCAUGUACUCACCAGGGCUAAGGUCAAGAACACCCAAGUAGAAACAAGUAUUCACAGUGAACAAACAAUCAUGUAAUGAAGAUAUAUAUAGGAUAACACACACAGAGAUCUUUUCAAAACUACGUUCACACAAAACCACAAAUUAACACUUAGUUAAUCAACACACGGUCAUGCACAUAUGCAACAAAUGCAUAAAUGACCCUAUGAAAAAUCUCACCACAUUUAUCCUAUCCCAUUCCGUGUUACUCCCACCUCGAGAAUACAUAUCUCCUCUCAUCGUCCACCAUGCUCACUAAACCAAUCACUUAACUCAUAUCUAAUUGGCAAGUCACAAUAGAUCCUAAGCUCAGGAAUAAUUCUCUAUCACCACGUCAUUUCUCCUAACCUAUGUAGAUAAUGAGAUUCCACCUUACAGAAGUGAUAGAAGUGUCUCUCUCACACUCCACCUGUACAGGGUCUCUUUCACAGAUAAAGGAACACAUUUGAUCACAUCUCCACUCGUGAUCCAAAUGUCACACUCUACAUCCCUCGUGCAUAUCAUCAAUGCACCUCUAGGCAUCUAUACUCCACCUUGCCAAAAGACAUCCAACUCACUGCUAAUGCAUCUCAAACUCACUAUGGCAAAACAACACCUUUCGGUGACCACAAAGGUUACUCAUCAAUGCUCCCAAAAAAUUCACAAAGAAAAUAGUGAAGGUGGCACUUUCAAAGAGAAUCGAAGAAAGAGUCGAUUACUUCACUACAUUUUGAACUACUUUUUUGUAGUUUCUCUUUGACCAAAUCAUUCACUUCUAAAGGCUUGUCCUCUUUUAUGUGUACGAAUUCUUGAUAUUCUGUGGAAUUAAAGAGUGUAUAAUGCCUAGCUUCUCAUGUUUGUUAAGUCGACACCAUUCUGUGAAAUUAAACAGUAACAAUAACUAGUUAAAAAGUAAAACAAAAAACCAAUAAUAGAAAAGGGAUAGUUGAUAUUGAUUAUAAAAUUCUUGUUGAUGGAAUUAGUUUUUCUUCCAAUACAAAUUGAUCCCGGGAUUCAUUUUUAUUUGUCCUUGUAUAUUAUUUUAGAUUUACUGGUCGGGUGAGCAAUUUUUCCCUUAUGGUUUUCUUAACAAAUCUAUACACAACUACCUCAUUUGAGAUAUAUAUAUAUAUAGACAUGCUUCUAGAAACAAAUAUGGAAAGCACGAUCACUUAGCAUUUGUCUGACUUUAUUUCUUUGUGAAACAAGUAAAGCAAAAGUUCGAUUGACAUAGAAUAAAAAUUGUGAAAUAUAAAUCUGACAAAGAAUUAAUUGAAGAAACACAAACACAGGCACAGAGAGAAACUUAUAUAUGGCAUGCUCAUUGUGUAUAUAUAAAUUGUACAUUUCAUGGACUCUGUUUUUUCAUUCGUAGAAUCGGUGAAAAGUCGGAACUCUGUUAUCUUGAUUGGUCUUCACUGUCCCAAAAUUCUUGCACUUGUAUGUUUUUCUCAAAUAAGUAUUUUGCUCUAAAUAUUGUACCGUUCCUUCAUAUCAAAACUAUAUUUCUACUUUUUUUCGCAAAUGAUUUGUUUGAUAAGGUCAAAAUGAUUGUUUUAUCUAUACUUUUAAUUGAGAAAACUAAUAUGAUUCUUAAUUUAGGGGCUAUUCUCAAUUGAAAUUGUGAUGGAUUUUAAAAAUCCUUGUAUAUUUAGGUGUUAUCAAUUGAGAUUUUAAUGAAAUCUAUCAAAAUUUAGGAGUCCCCAAUUGAUAUUUUAAUGAAAUUCAAUGAAAUCUUUUAAAAUUUAAGUAUUCUCAGUAAUUAAUGAGUUUAUAAAGAUUUCAUUAAUAGAAUGAUUUUAAAAGAUUUCGAUGGAUUUCAAACUUAAAAAUACAAAUAAUCGAAUCUUUUGGCCAUUACAAAAGCACUAUUUUGAGAAAUUGCUUAUCUUGAAGUGCAACAUGAAAAGUUAAAAUAGUUAUAAUAAGUGCUUUUAUUUCUCAAAGGGUUUAUUCUUUGAUAAUCAUAUGAUUUACCAAAGAACCACUACAAUACAAAGUACAUUGACCUUACUGUCCCUGUAAUUUUUUCAACUUGAAAAAGUUUUAUAGAAAUUUUAGAUGCUUGAGAGAAGAAAGCCGACUAAGAGAUAACAAAAUGUUUCAAUCAAAUUAAUUGUCACUAAGAUCAGGGGCAUUUAAAGUUCUCAACCUUGACAAUCGAUUGAGAAUAAUAGGGCGAGAUUAGUUAAUGCAACAACAUCAGCAAGUGAUGGCGAUGGAGAGACCGAAUGGAUGGAAUAAUUGUGCCAACAAAUUGAGGUGUUGAAACAUGUUAACAAUUUUCUAUCUUGAUAGUCUGAAAAAGACAGAUGCAUCAGUUUGUAAGUCGGAAAGGAGGGCUCCAAUGACGACGACGAAAUGCUUUUUGUUCCUUUUAAUUCCUAGCAAGAGAUAAAAUGUCACUUUUUAUUAUGUUAUUAUAAUUGAUAAGUUCUCAAAUACAUCGAUGACAGUCCAAUUUGGGAAGAGGAACCUAAUGUUAAUUUGGAGAAAUGGUCCGGAAAAUCCAACCUUAACCUUAAA